rnacentral:rRNA from 1 species
UACGGGGGGGCAAGCGUUGUUCGGAAUUACUGGGCGUAAAGGGCGCGUAGGCGGCUUGUUAAGUCAGGGGUGAAUCCUGGAGCUCAACUCCAGAACUGCCUUUGAUACUGAAGAUCUUGAGUUCGGGAGAGGUGAGUGGAACUGCGAGUGUAGAGGUGAAAUUCGUAGAUAUUCGCAAGAGCACCAGUGGCGAAGGCGGCUCACUGGCCCGAUACUGACGCUGAGGCACGAAAGCGUGGGGAGCAAACAAG